rnacentral:rRNA from 1 species
AGCGAACGCUGGCGGCAGGCCUAACACAUGCAAGUCGAACGAAGUCUUCGGACUUAGUGGCGGACGGGUGAGUAACACGUGGGAACGUGCCUUUAGGUUCGGAAUAACUCAGGGAAACUUGUGCUAAUACCGAAUGUGCCCUUCGGGGGAAAGAUUUAUCGCCUUUAGAGCGGCCCGCGUCUGAUUAGCUAGUUGGUGAGGUAAAGGCUCACCAAGGCGACGAUCAGUAGCUGGUCUGAGAGGAUGAUCAGCAACAUUGGGACUGAGACACGGCCCAAACUCCUACGGGAGGCAGCAGUGGGGAAUCUUGCGCAAUGGGCGAAAGCCUGACGCAGCCAUGCCGCGUGAAUGAUGAAGGUCUUAGGAUUGUAAAAUUCUUUCACCGGGGACGAUAAUGACGGUACCCGGAGAAGAAGCCCCGGCUAACUUCGUGCCAGCAGCCGCGGUAAUAC